AAUCCCCUCUUCUUUCUUAUUUUUCUUUCUUCAUCCUCUUUUCUCCUUUCUUCUUUUAUCUUCUUUGUUCUUCAUUUCUCGGUUUCACUCGAGAGUCAUAGACCGAAUGAGAGAGAUUGAGAGAAAAAAGAGAGUCUGCAAGAGAGAGAGAGAGAGAUUCAGGGAGAUCAAAGAGGGAGAGAUUAAGAGAUCGUGAGAGAGGGAGAGAUGGAGAUGGAGAUCGAGAGAGACCGAGAGAGGCAGGAAGACCAAACAGAUGACCCGAUCCUUCGAUGAGCCUUGCAACCGACGAAUUGAGAGGCUGAGAAUAGAGGAUUCGAUGGAUCUGUGAGCUGAACCCAUCAGACCCGGGAGGAGCUCCGAUCGUGAAACCCAGAAAUCUGACCGACCCGUGAGACCUGACUCUUCAUGGGUCAACGCCAGUGGAGCCGAAGACGCGAUUCUGGCGGUUAGGAGAAAUUUUCGAUGGAGUUUUCUAUGAAGAACGGAAACCCCCUAUAUAAUGAACUGAGACUGCACAAAAGGGCUUGGAAAGGUGAAGAAGAAGAGAGACCACAGUGUCUUUAAAUCAGAACACAGGGUAAACAUGGCUUGAAGAAGAAGGCUCAACUAACUUGCACGUUACGCGAAUUAAGGACGUCCAUAAUAAAAGAGAAAAAAAUAUAUGAAGCUAACUCACAGCCACAGUUACUGAUGCAGAUCUGGACGAUGAAGGCAUGGACCCAUAUGCGAGUUUUGAUGGUUUUUGAAACCAUUAUCAAACUAUUAUAUGCUAGCUUAGAAAUUACUAGUUGUAUUUAUGUGUGUUUUAUUUUAUGGCCUGUAAAUAUUUAUAACAAUGCCAUGUUUGGCAUGUUCUAUGUUGUAUACUUAUGUGCCGUUUGUGGCACUAAUUUUGAUGCACCUAGUGUGCAUAUGGCAUGUAAAGAUAAACCUAAGUGUUAGUAUUUUAUGUUGGCUACAUUCUAGAUGACAAAAACACUUUAUGUAAUGGUUGCUAUUUUAACAGGAUAAUCGGUCUUAUUUAGAAUCUUCAAGUUUUAUGAACAAUGUUUAUUUCAAGCCAUGUACCUUGUCACAAGUUUCUAGAAGAUGUUAAUGAAGAUUCCAUGCAAAUUCCAAGUCAGCUAGCCGGUUCCUGUGCAACUGUUCGGACAGGCCUUUUUAAGGCGUCCGAAUGCCCCACAGUGUCUAGAAGCUUCAGCGUUGAAGACGUCCGGAUGUCAGGGCAACACUGUCCAGACUCUAGGUCAAGCUUCUCUAAUUUCUACUCGGAGUUGCAUUUCAGUCGACACUUAUUUGGGGAGUUUCUGCAAGACGUCCGGACGACUUGGCAACUUGUCCGAACAAUAUCUAGCAUUCCAGAAUAUUCUGGGUUUCCUUUACAAGCGCGGAAAGGAGUUACAGCGAAGACCGUUCGGACAUGGUCCUGUUUUGGGAAAAAUCAUGAUAUUUUGGAAAAGCGGUUGCAGAAGACCGUCCGAACAAGGCUAUCUUCUAUCCGGACGCUCGACAGCCAGAGUCUAAAUUUGUCUAGAAUUAGGUUUUCUAAAGCCUACAUAAAAAGGCCUCUAAGCUUGUUAUUUAUAAGAAUUCAGUAUAGAAUUCCAUAGUGCUUAGAGAGGGUGUUUAGGGAGAAUUGAAGAUCUGCUAGCUCUCUAGCUAUUGCAGGUGUGUGCUACCAUUGUUUGUGUGAAGUCUAUCUUAGGGGUCGGCCCUAAGGUAAAUGAAUUCAUCAAAGACCCCUUCAAGUAGGAGACUUGGUUGGUAAGCAUCCACGAUGGGCUUCGUGUUAUAGUUAAAGGUAUGACUACUGCAAUAGGUUUUGUGAGUACGAGUGCUUUGUAACUUGCUUUGUCUUUAGAUAGUUAAUUUCCUGAGUUUGGCUGCCCCA